rnacentral:rRNA from 1 species
GACGAACGCUGGCGGCGUGCUUAACACAUGCAAGUCGAACGGUUAAGCGCCUUCCUUUUUGGUGGGUGUGGAUGAGUGGCGAACGGGUGAGUAACACGUGAGUAACCUGCCCCCUUCUUCUGGAUAACCGCAUGAAAGUGUGGCUAAUACGGGAUAUUCUGGGUCUGUCGCAUGAUGGGUCUGGGAAAGAUAUUGUUUCGGUGGGGGAUUGGCUCGCGGCCUAUCAGCUUGUUGGUGGGGUGUUGUCCUACCAAGGCGGUGACGGGUAGCCGGCCUGAGAGGGUGGACGGUCACAAUGGGACUGAGACACGGCACAGACUCCUACGGGAGGCAGAAGUGGGGAAUAGUGCACAAUGGGAGCAAGCCUGAUGCAGCGACGCCGCGUGAGGGAUGGAGGACUGCGGGUUGUGAACCUCUUUCGACAGUGAAGCAGGCCUGCCUCGUAUGUGGGUGGGUUGACGGUAGCUGGAGAAGAAGCGCCGGCUAACUACGUG